rnacentral:rRNA from 1 species
UACAGAGGUCUCAAGCGUUGUUCGGAUUCAUUGGGCGUAAAGGGUGCGUAGGUGGCGCCGUAAGUCGGGUGUGAAAUUUCGAGGCUUAACCUCGAAACUGCAUUCGAUACUGCGGUGCUUGAGGACUGGAGAGGAGACUGGAAUUCAUGGUGUAGCAGUGAAAUGCGUAGAGAUCAUGAGGAAGACCAGUGGCGAAGGCGGGUCUCUGGACAGUUCCUGACGCUGAGGCACGAAGGCCAGGGGAGCAAACGGG